GGCGGAGGGACUCUCGAGAGAGGAGGAGGGAAGGAGAGGACGAGGAAGACAUGCUAGGUGGGAUGAAACUCGUUGGAACAAAGAUGCCGCCAUCGCUUCCCUAGGUUAAAGCACUCUUUAGAGAUGGAGGAAAGGAGAGGACGAGGAAGACGUGCUAGGUCGAACGAAACUCGUCGGAACAAAGACACCGCCAUCAUUUUCCUAGGUUAAAGGACUCGAGAGAGAGAUGGAGGAAA
rnacentral:lncRNA from 1 species